GUGAUUAAAUCGAGCGUGUCUUCAUUGACCGCUCACCCUUCUCACCAUCCACAUACACCUGUGCACUGUUUAGCCUGAGCCGGUUUCCGGGCUCCAGGUUACAUUUCAUAACAAACUCUAGUCUUAUGAAUGUAAACGUUUUAAUAACAUAAUA
rnacentral:misc_RNA from 1 species